rnacentral:misc_RNA from 1 species
GAUCAAUCUGCUCACAGUUCAAUCCAGAAUAGCAAAACAUUCCAACCUGCUUGACUAUGUGGUCCCAAUUGAGAGGAGAAUUCAAUUUCUCAAGAUUAUCAAAUAAACUAGCUCUCAUAGAUCGAAUGCGAUCAGCCAUGACCUUCAGUUCUUCAACCCAUUCAGCUUUCAGAAGUGGAUCGCUCAAGAUUGUUGAGACUAAUAAC